UAGGUAUAAUAUCAACUUGGUGGUGUU
rnacentral:piRNA from 1 species